rnacentral:rRNA from 1 species
UACGGAGGAUCCAAGCGUUAUCCGGAAUCAUUGGGUUUAAAGGGUCCGUAGGCGGUUUGGUAAGUCAGUGGUGAAAGCCCAUCGCUCAACGAUGGAACGGCCAUUGAUACUGCCAGACUUGAAUUACUGGGAAGUAACUAGAAUAUGUAGUGUAGCGGUGAAAUGCUUAGAUAUUACAUGGAAUAUCAAUUGCGAAGGCAGGUUACUACCAGUGGAUUGACGCUGAUGGACGAAAGCGUGGGGAGCGAACAGGAUUAGAUACCCUGGUAGUCCACGCCGUAAACGAUGGAUACUAGCUGUUCGGAGCAAUCUGAGUGGCUAAGCGAAAGUGAUAAGUAUCCCACCUGGGGAGUACGUUCGCAAGAAUGAA